AGUGAACGCUGGCGGUAGGCCUAACACAUGCAAGUCGAACGGCAGCACAGUAAGAGCUUGCUCUUACGGGUGGCGAGUGGCGGACGGGUGAGGAAUACAUCGGAAUCUACUUUUUCGUGGGGGAUAACGUAGGGAAACUUACGCUAAUACCGCAUACGACCUACGGGUGAAAGCAGGGGAUCUUCGGACCUUGCGCGAUUGAAUGAGCCGAUGUCGGAUUAGCUAGUUGGUGGGGUAAAGGCCCACCAAGGCGACGAUCCGUAGCUGGUCUGAGAGGAUGAUCAGCCACACUGGAACUGAGACACGGUCCAGACUCCUACGGGAGGCAGCAGUGGGGAAUAUUGGACAAUGGGCGCAAGCCUGAUCCAGCCAUACCGCGUGGGUGAAGAAGGCCUUCGGGUUGUAAAGCCCUCUUGUUGGGAAAGAAAAGCAGCAGGUUAAUACCCCGCUGUUCUGACGGUACCCAAAGAAUAAGCACCGGCUAACUUCGUG
rnacentral:rRNA from 1 species